CCUACGGGUGGCAGCAGUGGGGAAUUUUGCGCAAUGCUCGUAAGAGUGACGCAGCGACGCCGCGUGAAUGACGAAGGCCUUCGGGUCGUAAAGUUCUUUCGACAGGGAAGAAAAUGCCUAUAAGUAACGGUGUAUGUAUUGACGGUACCUGUAUAAGCAGCCCCGGCUAACUCCGUGCCAGCAGCCGCGGUAAUACGGAGGGGGCGAGCGUUGUUCGGAGUGACUGGGCGUAAAGAGAACGUAGGCGGUGUUGUAAGUCAUUGGUUAAAGAUUAGAGCUCAACCUUAGUAAGGCUAGUGAUACUAUAAUACGAGAGUAUCAGAGAGGAUUGCAGAAUGUCUGGUGUAGCGGUGAAAUGCGUAGAUAUCAGGAGGAAUACCGUUAGCGAAGGCGGCAAUCUGGCUGGAAACUGACGCUGAGGUGCGAAAGCGUGGGUAGCAAACAGGAUUAGAUACCCUUGUAGUC
rnacentral:rRNA from 1 species